rnacentral:tRNA from 1 species
GGCAGUGUAGUUUAAUGGAUAGAAUGGUAAUUUUGUAAGUUACAGAUAUAAAAGUAAUUUUGGCUGCC